AAGAUGUCUGUUUAAGCACUAGGAUAUAUAGAGGUUUAGCACUCAGCUAAACCUUUU
rnacentral:ncRNA from 1 species